AGCAAGGAGUUUUCCGCAAUGGGCGCAAGCCUGACGGAGCAACGCCGCGUGGGGGAUGACACCUUUCGGGGCGUAAACCCCUUUUCUUGGGGACGAAGCAGUGACGGUACCCGAGGAAGAAGGCCCGGCUAACUACGUGCCAGCAGCCGCGGUAAUACGUAGGGGCCGAGCGUUGUCCGGAGUUACUGGGCGUAAAGCGCGCGCAGGCGGCUCGUCAAGCCUGACGUGAAAGCCCCCGGCUCAACCGGGGAGGGUCGUCGGGGACUGGCGGGCUUGAGGUCGGCAGGGGCUGGUGGAAUUCCCGGUGUAGUGGUGAAAUGCGUAGAGAUCGGGAGGAACACCCGUGGCGAAGGCGGCCAGCUGGGCCGGACCUGACGCUGAGGCGCGAAGGCGUGGGGAGCGAA
rnacentral:rRNA from 1 species